CAAUAGCGUAUAUUUAAGUUGUUGCAGUUAAAAAGCUCGUAGUUGGAUUUCGGGUGGGACGCAGCGGUCUCGCAUUGCGUUUGUACUGCUGCAGCCCUCCUUCUUGCCGGGGGCGGCCUCUCGGACUUCACUGUCUGGGGGUCAGAAUCGGCGAUGUUACUUUGAGUAAAUUAGAGUGUUCAAAGCAAGCUUACGCUCUGAAUAUAAUAGCAUGGGUUAACACGACAGGACUCUGGCCUAUCGUGUUGGUCUAUAGGACCAGAGUAAUGAUUAAGAGGGACAGUCGGGGGCAUUCGUAUUCCGUUGUCAGAGGUGAAAUUCUUGGAUUUACGGAAGACGAACAUCUGCGAAAGCAUUUGCCAAGGAUGUUUUCAUUGA
rnacentral:rRNA from 1 species